rnacentral:rRNA from 1 species
GACGAGGGACCCUAGCGUUGUUCGGAAUCAUUGGGCGUAAAGCGGGUGUAGGUGGCUUUGUAAGUCAGGUGUGAAAGCCCGAGGCUCAACCUCGGAAGUGCAUUUGAUACUGCGAAUGCUUGAGUGCUGGAGAGAUUACUGGAAUUCCUGGUGUAGUGGUGAAAUACGUAGAUAUCAGGAGGAAUACCGGAGGCGAAGGCGGGUAAUCGGCCAGACACUGACACUCAGACCCGAAAGCGUGGGGAUCAAACAGG